AGAUUGAACGCUGGCGGCAGGCCUAACACAUGCAAGUCGAGCGGCAGCACGGGUACUUGUACCUGGUGGCGAGCGGCGGACGGGUGAGUAAUGCCUAGGAAUCUGCCUGGUAGUGGGGGAUAACGCUCGGAAACGGACGCUAAUACCGCAUACGUCCUACGGGAGAAAGCAGGGGACCUUCGGGCCUUGCGCUAUCAGAUGAGCCUAGGUCGGAUUAGCUAGUUGGUGGGUAAUGGCUCACCAAGGCGACGAUCCGUAACUGGUCUGAGAGGAUGAUCAGUCACACUGGAACUGAGACACGGUCCAGACUCCUACGGGAGGCAGCAGUGGGAAUAUUGGACAAUGGGCGAAAGCCUGAUCCAGCCAUGCCGCGUGUGUGAAGAAGGUCUUCGGACUGUAAAGCUAACUUUAAGUUGGAGGAAGGCAGUUACCUAAUACGUAUCUGUUUUGACGUUACGACAGAAUAAGCACCGCU
rnacentral:rRNA from 1 species